rnacentral:rRNA from 1 species
GACGAACGCUGGCGGCGUGCUUAACACAUGCAAGUCGAACGAUGAACCGGAGCUUGCUCUGGGGAUUAGUGGCGAACGGGUGAGUAACACGUGGGCAACCUGCCCCAGACACCGGGAUAACCAUUCGAGAGGAUGGCUAAUACCGGAUACGACCACUUCGGGCAUCCGAUGGUGGUGGAAAGGAUUCUGGUCUGGGAUGGGCCCGCGGCCUAUCAGCUUGUUGGUGGGGUAAUGGCCUACCAAGGCGACGACGGGUAGCCGGCCUGAGAGGGCGACCGGCCACACUGGGACUGAGACACGGCCCAGACUCCUACGGGAGGCAGCAGUGGGGAAUAUUGCGCAAUGGGCGAAAGCCUGACGCAGCGACGCCGCGUGAGGGACGAAGGUCUUCGGAUUGUAAACCUCUUUCAGCAGGGAUGAAGCGAAAGUGACAGUACCUGCAGAAGAAGCACCGGCUAACUACGUGCCAGCCGCCGCGGUAAGAC